rnacentral:lncRNA from 1 species
UAGAUAGAAUGAGAAAAGUUGAUUACAAUGAGUGUAAGAUACACUCUAUACAGUGAUGUGAUCCCAACCAAUUUAACUAGUCCUAACUAACUAGCAACUGCCUAUGAUAAACUUCAUCUAAUUCUAACACACAAUGUGAUCAAGAAAAUUAACUAUAUAGCUGAUACUAGAAUCUAGAGGAAAAUUAAGUAACUAUAAUGUUUAAGAGCCUAAGUACCUGCAGUGUAGUAACUGUCUAGGGAUAUCUAACAAGAUUUGAAUUCAAACUACAAGAAGAGAAAUUAAUGUCCUGGCGCUUCUUUAUCCCGCUGCUUUUGUGACGGUUGGUAACUGUCUUCCAAUAUCGAAUUAGCAGCCGUUCGUUCGAAAAUGGCAACUUAGCAGCAAAUGCAAUUAGGUUAGCCAAUCAAGCCAAGGUCUUCCUGCAGCUCUUCUUCGACUUUCUUAUACAGAAUUAGUAGGGCACUUAGACCCUUCAACAAAGACAUCUUCGAAAAUGGGUCAAAACACUUUGAUCAACUUCAAAUCAUGCUUCUCCUCAUACUCGAAUUUUCAAUCUCAAUGAAGCUUCAUAGCAAAUUCGUGGAAAAUUUCUUCGUCGCGAGUAAUUCAAAUUCCAACACUGAGAAAUAAACCAAGUAAGCAACACGACAAAAUAUUCUACCGAGAUGUCUAUGAGUUGUAGCCCGUGCAUCAAUCUGGCCAAAUCCACAAGUUUGUUAGGUUGGAAAAAUGUCCCCUACCGUCUAAUUGAUGGAUGAAACUCGGCGUAUUGAAGGAACCAAGUCAUCAGAAGCACCACAUUUACUCCCUAACACGUCAUUAGGGUUUGAGGUUUCCACAGUCGUUUCUGGUUUUGGAACAUCUUCCGUAGGCAUGACAGUGGAAAUAGGCAAAUCAGUAUUCACUUUCUGCAAAAACAUAUCCCAUUUAAGUGAGUUACUUUAGCAAAAUAUAUGAAUGUAACUUUAAUAUCAGUAUAGUUUAAGUAAUAACUAAUAACUUCAUCAUGCAGAGAGGUAUACUUGUUUAUCUGUUUGAAUCUCAUCAUCAAGAUUGUCGACGUUAGCUACCCUGAGCUUCAUACACACACGUGGACGGUCGGUAUAGAUUUUUGGCUUUGGCACAACAUUUUGAGUACAGUCAUUGUAUUCUGAAAAAGGAACUAAAGUCAUUAGAACAUGCUCUGGAGUAAAUUCCUUCACAAUAAUGAAAAUAUUGUGAAUGAAUGCGCAAACAAUACUUCGACUACAAGAAUGAAGUUACCUCUAUGCUCAUCCACAUCCCCUGGUUCAAGACUGGUAGGCACGGCAACUGGAGCCUACAAAUUGUCAUUGAGAAAUCAAACAAAAUCAGUACAAAUUUAAUGCGAAAGCUAUCAGAAAAUCCAUAUACAUUUCACAUUUCUACAAAUGAAAAUAGGGAAGCCAUAAUUGAAACUAAAAUGUUGGAAAAGGAACGACGCACUAUUGAUUGAUUUUGUUCCUUUAUCUGUUGAAUCUCCUGAUAUUUUAAAAUCGUCCAGUCAUAUAAAUAGUCAGCAGCAUAUCCUGCCAAACAUAAAUUUAGGAAGUGAAUUACAUUUCAAUUUAGUUUCUUAAACUGUAAGUAUCAGAAAAUUUGGUCUCUGACAUUAAUGAAAUUCUAAAGUAAUUUCUGAAAUUGAAAAUCCUCAACUGUAUGCUUUCUUGAAAAGACUAAUGCUAUCGAGAAUUAUCAAUCUCAGAGAUCAUUUGAAGUUAUGAUAAUUUCAGAGAAUAAAUUUCUUUGGACAUGGAUACCUACAAACUUAUUAUGAUUUGGAUAAUGAAUAGAGUGCAAAAUAAUGCUACAAUGACAUUUAAUGCCAAUGAAACAAAAAUAAUCAACCAACAUGUAAAUUGCCAUCUUAAAGAACCUGUUGCUAGCAGAUUAAUAAACAAACAGUUAUUACCUUUAGAAGUGAACAAUUCACGAAACAGGCGCUUCAAAUAUCCAUAAUCUGGUCGUUGAUCAAAUGUCAAGGAGCGGCAAUAAUGAAAGUAAGAAGCAAACUCCACGGGGCAUGACUUGCAAAGUACCUAAGAACAAGAAAUUCAUAGUCAGAAAACAUUUAUAGACCAAAUACAUGUACCUUAGGGGAAACAUGAUCCGCAUACCUCAAUGGGAGUGUUUAACUUCGUUUCGCAUAUUUUUUCAUAUUUUUGCAUUCUGGUGGCAGCUUGCAGACCUUGCCAAGGAAGGCUAAAAUGCAAAAACCAAAUAGUCAAGUCUUACGUUUACCAAAAUAACCCUGCACCAUUGAGAGUCGCAAGCGACAUCUUUAUGAUGCAUGGUAAAAGUAUAAUCAAUAGGAUGAGACAUACCUUCCUCUCAAAAAGUACAAAAGAACAUAACCAAGAGACUCCAAAUCAUCUCUGCGGCUUUGCUCUGAAGAAGUUAAACCAAAAUUGUGAGUGAAAAUUGUAGCUUACGUCAUAUCUUAAGACAAUAACGAAGGAAAAAUUCUCUCAUGUACUAACCAAUUCCUUUGUGAGUAUUGCUACUUGCAUAACGUGCAGUUCCUGUUAAGUUUUUGUUCUCUCUGGAUGAGUUUAUCAAGAUAAAACAAUAUUAAACAACGUAAACAUAGAUGGCUAAAUUCAAAGUGGUAAGGCACAAGUCACUAAGAAUGAAUCAAGCAAAAUCCUUAGAUAAAAUCAAUAUAUGACAAUUUUGAAGAUUUCACAUUGACAGAAAGAGAAAUGAUCCACGACAGAAAGAUGUUUCAUCGCUUGUAAAGAUGGUUCACGACACAUAAAUAUGAUCCAUGUCAAGAAGAGAUCAAACAAAAACUAUAAAGCUAGAUAAAAAAUAUACCUGUAAGGAAUAUGCUUGUAACUGAUAGGAUCCCUGUAUCCUUUUGAAAGUCCAAAAUCAAUCAUACAAACCUGUGAAUGUAACAUAAUUCAUAUAUCAUAUGUUAAAUUUGGAAAUAUAGAGGAAUUAUAACAUAGAAAAACUAUCCAUUUAAGUUUUCUGAUUUUUGAAAGAAUACUCAUGAAGCAUUGAAGCUACCUGGUUUGCUUUCUUCCCAAGACCCAUAAGAAAGUUAUCUGGUUUGAUAUCUCUGUGUAGUAAUCCUUUGGAAUGUAAAUACUCUAUCCUCGUAAGCUGUCAUCAAAGAAAUAAAACAGGCUUAGGGCCUGUUUGAUUUACUUAUUUGAGUAUAUCUACUAAUAUAAACACUUUUGUGAUUGUUAGAGAGAGCUUAUGAUAAACAUUUAUGUUAUAAGCAUUUAAUUAAGCUGUUUAUCGAAACAGACCCUUCAUACAGAAAACAUGGUCAUAUAGAGAAGCUAAAUUUAAAAACAGAAAGGAAAAGAUGCAUUCAAUGAUAACUAAACAACCAAUCCAUAAAUGAAUCAAUGAUUACCAUUUGAUCGGCUAACAUCAAAACCGAUUUUAGCGAAAACUUCCCACUGCAGUAGUAAAGCAGGUCAUCGAGACUCGGGCCCAUAAGUUCAAGAACUAGAACAUUAUAGUCUCCGUCAGUACCAAACCAUUUCAUUCUUGGAAUACCACCUUAAAUUCCAUUACUAUAAUAAAUUAGAAAGGACUGAGAAAACAAAGGGAAAAAUAUUGUGAGGGAAACAAGAUUCAACAUAAAUUGAAGCUAUGCUUUUAUAACUUACUUCCUCCUUUAAGAAUGUUAUAUAACUUUGCCUCAUAUAGUAGCUGUGGUUGUUGAGUUUUCUUCUUCUCCUAUUACACAAGAAUAUGUCUAUUAUAAACCAUCACAAAGUUGAGGACUUUUUACACGUUCAGUGACCAAAAGAUGUAAAUUAACAAUCAAAAUUUAAACAUGCAUCUAAUUGAGAAAUUUGAUCCACUACAAAAAUUGUAAUACAAGAUAUGAUAGUCUUUAAGCUUCAUCCAUCCAUCUACUACGGAAAAGAUAAAAACGAUGUAAUCAAAUUUAAGGUCUUUAAUUUAACUCUCUCAUUGAUCAUCACUAUUAUUACCUUAAAUGCGACUAAAAUGUGUCCGAGAGUAUCCAAGAUAUAUAUAAAAGCAAAGAAAACUAAGUUUCUUUGAGACACUUGUCUAAGUUGUCAGACAUGUGUUACACAGGUGUCAUACGAGUGUCGUACAACUAAGAUACGCCUAUUCUCAGGACGCCUAAUCCCAAGAGUAUUUGUAAUUAUUUAAAAUGCAAUAACAAACUCAAAAUGAUCACUUCCUAAUCACAAUUAUUACAACAAAUAAAGAAAAUAAAAAGGAAAAUUCUAAGCAAUAACCAAAAAUCAAAGCAACAAUUUCCAAUAGACUCACCUUCUUAAUGGCCACAAGCUCAGAAGUCACAACAUGUGCCCCUGAAAAUGAUCAUAAAACAACUCAAACAUUAAACAAAAAAAUAAAAAAAAUCAAACAUGCAAAAUGAAAUAAAGUUUCUUAUAAUUCAUACCAAUAUAAAUUUCACCAAAUGAUCCACUGCCAAUUUUCCUACCAAUUCUAUACUUUCCUCCAACAACCUUUUCCAUCAAAAACCAAACAAUGAGAAUGGAAAAACAACUGAUGAUUUUCCAGAGAAAGCGAUAAAAA